GACGAACGCUGGCGGCGUGCUUAACACAUGCAAGUCGAACGGAAAGGCCCUGCUUUUGUGGGGUGCUCGAGUGGCGAACGGGUGAGUAACACGUGAGUAACCUGCCCUUGACUUUGGGAUAACUUCAGGAAACUGGGGCUAAUACCGGAUAGGAGCUCCUGCUGCAUGUUGGGGGUUGGAAAGUUUCGGCGGUUGGGGAUGGACUGGCGGCUUAUCAGCUUGUUGGUGGGGUAGUGGCUUACCAAGGCUUUGACGGGUAGCCGGCCUGAGAGGGUGACCGGCCACAUUGGGACUGAGAUACGGACCAGACUCCUACGGGAGGCAGCAGUGGGGAAUAUUGCACAAUGGGCGGAAGCCUGAUGCAGCAACGCCGCGUGCGGGAUGACGGCCUUCGGGUUGUAAACCGCUUUCGCCUGUGACGAAGCGUGAGUGACGGUAAUGGGUAAAGAAGCACCGGCUAACUACGUG
rnacentral:rRNA from 1 species